rnacentral:rRNA from 1 species
UGUGGGUAGCGGUGAAAUUCCAAUCGAGCCCGGAGAUAGCUGGUUCUCCCCGAAAUAGCUUUAGGGCUAGCCUCAAGGUGAGAGAUACGGAGGUAGAGCACUGAAUGUCCCAGGGGGUAUUGCACCUACCGAAGACUAUCAAACUCCGAAUGCCGUCAUCUUAUACUUGGGAGUCAGACUGUGGGUUAUAAGAUUCAUAGUCGAAAGGGCAACAGCCCAGAUCGUCAGCUAAGGUCCCUAAAUGUAAGUUAAGUGGUAAAGGAUGUGGGAUUGCACAGACAAACAGGAUGUUUGCUUAGAAGCAGCCACUCAUUCAAAGAGUGCGUAAUAGCUCACUGGUCGAGUGAUCCUGCGCCGAAGAUUUCCGGGGCUAAAACUUACUACCGAAGCUACGGCAUCAGUAAUGAUGGGUAGGGGAGCUUCCCAUACGGGUUGAAGCAUGACCGUAAGGACAUGUGGACAGUAUGGGAGUGAGAAUGUUGGCAUGAGUAGCGAGAUGUGGGUGAGAAUCCCACAGGCCGUAAACCCAAGGUUUCCAGGGGAAGGUUCGUCCGCCCUGGGUUAGUCGGGACCUAAGCUGAGGCCGAAAGGCGUAGGUGAUGGACAACAGGUUGAUAUUACUGUACUACCGAUAACCGUUUGAGAGAAGGGAUGACACAGUAGGAUAAGCUAAGCACACUGUUGGUUAUGUGUGCCCAAGCAUUGAGGCAGUCAAAGUAGGCAAAUCCGCUUUGAUAAUGCUGGGAUGUGAUGGGGAGCGAAAUUUAGUAGCGAAGUAGCUGAUUUCACACUGUCAAGAAAAGUCUCUAUCGAGGUUAAAGGUACCCGUACCGCAAACCGACACAGGUGGGUGAGGAGAGUAUCCUAAGGCCAGCGAGAGAACUGUUGUUAAGGAACUCGGCAAAAUGACCCCGUAACUUAGGGAUAAGGGGUGCCACCAUCAGGUGGCCGCAGAGAAUAGGCCCAAGCGACUGUUUACCAAAAACAUAGGUUUCUGCUAAGUCGCAAGACGAUGUAUAGGAGCUGACGCCUGCCCGGUGCUGGAAGGUUAAGGGGAUCUGUUAGAGCAAUCGAAGCAGUGAACUUAAGCCCCAGUAAACGGCGGCCGUAACUAUAACGGUCCUAAGGUAGCGAAAUUCCUUGUCGGGUAAGUUCCGACCCGCACGAAAGGCGUAACGAUUUGGGCACUGUC